UACAGGUCCCCCAGAGAGAGGUAUGAUACAGGUCCAAUAGAGAGAGGUAUGACACAGGUCCCCCAGAGAGAGGUAUGAUACAGGUCCCCUUGAGAGAGAGGUAUGAUACAGGUCCCCCAGAGAGAGGUACGAUACAGGUCCCCCAGAGAGAGGUAUGAUACAGGUCCCCCAGAGAGAGGUAUGAUACAGGUCCCCUAGAGAGAGGUAUGAUACAGGUCCCCCAGAGAGAGGUAUGAUACAGGUCCAAUAGAGAGAGGUAUGACACAGGUCCCCCAGAGAGAGGUAUGAUACAGGUCCCCUUGAGAGAGAGGUACGAUACAGGUCCCCCAGAGAGAGGUAUGAUACAGGUCCCC